GACUUAGUUUAAAAAAUGCAUGAAAGGUAACAUCCCAAAGCAGAACCACUUUUUCACUCAAAUUAUUGUUGUUUCCACUUUUUUAGUAAUCCUCGAAGUAACUUUGGUUGUGUUCAUCGUCAUUGGUUACGGACGCAUGAACUCAUCACCACACAAGAAGUCCUUAGCAGAUGACAGAACUGUUCCAACUUGACAUUACUGCAAAUACUGGUUCAUUAAGAUGAUGAGGAGCAGCAGUUUCCUCUCAAGAGAUGCACCAGGGCUUUGAUGAGAACACUUAGAUUGCAGCGUCAUCAUGAAUUCAAACACGUCAUCAUCUCUUUACUACAAGCUGCUCGUACUUCAACUCUGUAAACUAUUCAAUACUAGGAUAAGAAAGCAUUGCGAAAGUUCCGUUGGUUAUUGCCGUGAUGCGUGUGUGUACGCCGUGUAGCUAGGACGGUGGUUAACAAAAACACAACCACUAGAACUCGCAUUUUUCAAGCAUUUUCAAUAUUUAAAGACCUGAAGUCCCAUCCACUAUUCCACGCAAUCGACUGGAAGCAAAUCAGGGAGACAGAAGCCCCUUUCAUCCCAGCCCCAGAUGACAGAACGGACACCACUUAUUUUGACGCUCGGAACAACAUGCAGCAUCUCCAGAUGUCUUCUUUUGCACUUUGACCUCUUGAAUGCAAUCCACAACCCAUCAACAGAAGUAAUGAAACUAUUCCAGGAUGGUGGUCAACUUGGUCCAGUGGUUAGACUGCAGGACUUGCAAUCACAAGGUUGUAGGUUUGAAUCCUACUAAGCUAACUGUGGU